rnacentral:rRNA from 1 species
AGUUUGAUCAUGGCUCAGAACGAACGCUGGCGGCAUGCCUAACACAUGCAAGUCGAACGAAGCCUUCGGGCUUAGUGGCGCACGGGUGCGUAACGCGUGGGAAUCUGCCCUUGGGUUCGGAAUAACAGUUAGAAAUGACUGCUAAUACCGAAUGAUGUCUUCGGACCAAAGAUUUAUCGCCCAAGGAUGAGCCCGCGUCGGAUUAGCUAGUUGGUGAGGUAAAGGCUCACCAAGGCGACGAUCCGUAGCUGGUCUGAGAGGAUGAUCAGCCACACUGGGACUGAGACACGGCCCAGACUCCUACGGGAGGCAGCAGUGGGGAAUAUUGGACAAUGGGCGAAAGCCUGAUCCAGCAAUGCCGCGUGAGUGAUGAAGGCCUUAGGGUUGUAAAGCUCUUUUACCCGGGAUGAUAAUGACAGUACCGGGAGAAUAAGCCCCGGCUAACUCCGUG